UCCGGUUGGCCGGGCGCUUCAGCGAAGUUGUCGCUACCGCGGUCGCGAUGGGCAAGUCAGAUUUCCUUACCCCUAAGGCCAUCGCCAACAGGAUCAAAUCCAAGGGGCUUCAGAAGCUGCGCUGGUAUUGCCAGAUGUGCCAGAAGCAGUGCCGGGACGAGAAUGGCUUCAAGUGUCAUUGUAUGUCCGAAUCUCACCAGAGACAACUACUGUUGGCUUCAGAAAAUCCUCAGCAGUUUAUGGAUUACUUCUCCGAGGAAUUCCGAAAUGACUUUCUAGAACUUCUCAGGAGACGCUUUGGCACUAAGAGAGUCCACAACAACAUCGUGUACAAUGAGUAUAUCAGCCACCGGGAGCACAUCCACAUGAAUGCCACCCAGUGGGAGACUCUGACUGAUUUUACCAAGUGGCUGGGCAGAGAAGGCUUGUGCAAGGUGGAUGAGACGCCGAAGGGCUGGUAUAUUCAGUAUAUCGACAGGGACCCAGAAACUAUCCGCCGGCAACUGGAACUGGAGAAAAAGAAGAAGCAGGACCUUGAUGAUGAAGAGAAGACAGCCAAGUUUAUUGAAGAACAAGUGAGAAGAGGUCUGGAAGGGAAAGAACAGGAGGCUCCUGUUUUUACGGAAUUAAGCAGAGAAAAUGAUGAAGAAAAAGUUACAUUCAAUUUGAAUAAAGGAGCAUGUAGUUCAGCAGCAACAUCAUCCAAAUCAAGCUCCUUGGGACCGAGCGCGUUGAAGACAGUCGGGAAUGCGGCAUCAGUUAAGCGCAAAGAAUCUUCCCAGAGCACAGCUCGAUCAAAAGAAAAGAAAAAGAAGAAAUCAGCACUCGAUGAAAUCAUGGAGAUCGAGGAGGAAAGGAAAAGAAGUACCCGAACAGACUAUUGGCUACAGCCUGAAAUCAUUGUAAAAAUCAUAACCAAAAAACUCGGAGAGAAGUAUCAUAAGAGAAAGGGCGUUGUUAAGGAAGUAAUUGACAAAUACACAGCUGUCGUCAAGAUGAUCGACUCUGGAGACAAGCUGAAACUUGACCAGACUCAUUUAGAAACAGUAAUUCCAGCACCAGGAAAAAGAAUUCUCGUUUUAAACGGAGGCUACAGAGGAAAUGAAGGUACCUUAGAAUCCAUCAAUGAGAAGACUUUUUCAGCUACCAUAGUCAUUGAAACUGGUUGUUGUGAGAACUACAGAAAAUACACAGGAGGUGUCAGACGGGGAGUCACGCAUCUGUGGCCCCGCCUGGUGUUAAUCUGGCCUGAAGAAUUUCGUUAGGGAGAAUGGGUCUCCCUGGUCAGAACAGGUAAGUCAACCGGGAUGAGAUCCCCCCACCCCCCCCACCCCCACCGCCAACCUGUAAAUUCGGAGUCAACCUCCGUAGGAAAAAAUGUCCCAUCCCUACCUCCCACAUUCUGAUUCUUUUCCCCAACAUCUUCCUGAAGUUAUCCCAGAAUGAAACAAAGUAGCGUAACGGAUGUGAAAUUUAGCAUUUAAAAAUCAAAAGCACAAAAAUACGACUCUAGACGACAGGGCCUUUAUCUCCCCACCCCCCCCCCCGGAAGUUCUUAGAGGCCAGUAGUGUUUUAUGUUCUCCACGGUGACUUCAGAUACCUAACGUCAAGUUUUCUAUGGGUUUUUUUUUUUUUCCUUUCUUAAAGCAUCACAAGCUACUUUUGUUUACAUAGACUUUUUUUUUAACAACAGUUUUAAGCUCACGGCGAAAUGGAGCAGAGGGUACAGAGAUUGCCCAUAGAUCCCCUGUCCCCACACACACCGCCUCCCUCACCACCCACAUCCCCGAGCAAAGUGGUACGUUUGUUACAAUGAACCUAUGAUAAUGAUGAACACAUCAUCAUCAUCCAAAGUCCAUAGUUUAGGGUAGGGUCACUCUUGGCGGUGUCCCAUUCUAUGGGUUUGGGCAAGUUGGUAACGAAAUGAAAUGUAUUCACCAGUACAGUAUCAUACAGAACAGCUUCACCAGGCUAAAAAUCCUCUGUGUUCUCCCUGUUCGUCCCUCUCCCCCCAACAGCUCAACCCCUUGGCAACCGCUGACUUUUUUUUUUCUUUUUCUGGCUCCGUAUCUUUGCCUUCUCCAUAAUGUCAUACAGUUGGAAUCGUAUAGUAUGUAAGCUUUCCAGAUUGGCUUCCUUCACUUAGUCACAUGCCCUUAAGGCCUCUCCAUGCCUUCUCAUGGCUUGAUAGCUCAUUUCUUUUCAGCGCCAAGCAAUACGUCUCUGUCUGGAUGUGCCACAAUCCAUCCACUCCCCUACUGAAGGACAUCUUGGUUGCUUCUGGAUUUGGUCAAUUACGAAUCAAGCCAUUAACAACAUCCGGAAACCAUUCGGAUUGAUAUUUACGAAAAGCUUUGAAGAUAGGCUACAGGAGUCCUGAAGAUGAUUGGAAGAUAGGGGCCCUGCGACACCCCAGCUGAGAUUUACGGUGACGACCUACUCCUCUCUACAGAAUUACGUUCUGAUCAAUCCCUAGUGGGUUGCAGAAUGCUCCAAAGAAUAAGCAAGCGUAAUACAGCAUCAAAAUAUACUCAGCCUACAGGGCUGAAGACCAGACCCUCGAGAAUAAUGAAAUCAUCACAGCAAAUGCCAAGUUGAGGGCUCCGUCUGGAUGCCAGCGCGAGUGGCCAAAGCAGCUUUUCCUUUGCAUGACCCUGAUUAACGCGUCUUAACAUCUGAAAACUCGACAAAAUCCUGAAUCUUCUUUGCAAAGUAUUUAUUUUCUUCGGCUGUAUUCACAGGUUUUCUAAACCACUAUGACAUCUGGUUACUGGAAAGGGGGCAGGGAAGGGCCGUAUAUACGUAUCAUUUCCAAAGCCACACAUCUUUAAGGCCUUUGGAGAAAGCUAUAAAGCUGAGGCACAAAGUAAUCCUUGUAAUGUCCGUCGAUGAAACCUUUCCCGCUGUUAUGCACGAACCAACAGGAAACCUCUGUUCCGAACACUCGAUCUGUUCGAUAGUCCUUCUGUAGGCCUCUGCGGGGAAAAUGGUGAGUAUGGUUAGACUUGGCCAGCUUGCGUAUCUGCAAAGCUUAUUUGCUGUUCAUCAUGCCCCUCCUGGUGCCGUAUCUGCUCACGCCCACCUACCCCCACUCCCCAAGCUGUACAGAACAUUCUCUCGAGCUUGGUGUUGGAAGGACAGAGAAUAAGCACUGCAUCCUUAGAUAAUUCAAAUAACCCUUUGGAGACUGACCAAUAUGUAGACUUUUCCGGCACGGGAAAGAAUGCAAGUUAACGUCCCAGUGGAAAGAAAGCGGGAACCAAAUGCUGAGCCGCUGUGGGCUCACCUCACGUGUCCUCUGCUGAAUGAAUCUUCACUGGGAGGGUGAGUGUUCUAUCUAAGGGUGAUGCCAGCUGUUUCUGAGAAAUCCAUGCUCCCACUUACAGGACAAAGAAGCCGAUGAUUUAAAAAGCUGUGUGGCCUAUGGUCGCUAGUGAGCUUUAAAAUACGGAUGAAAGCGCACGACCCCGUCCACCCUGAAGCCCCCGUCAACUCAGUCUCAGUUAUGUAUUUCGAGGUGCUUCCAACAGAAGAACUGGAGGCCUGACAGUUACGUUUGCCAUUAGAGUAUAGCAGGUGUGCGUUUACCGACCUAGAUAACUUAUUUUACUCUUAUUACUGUGCUCGCCAUUUCCUUAUCAAACAUGCUCACCGACGCCCACGGGUCACUCACUGGUCUCCAGUGAGCCGAACCCGGGUGAGUGGUACACACACCAAGAGCUCGUCGUUUUACUUCAAAAAUCUAUUUUUGUGGUGGUAUGUAUGGCUUAAUUAUUACUGCAGUGUCAUCACUUACUGAUGUGGAAGCCAAGGACAUUUGCGGGCAAAGAAAGUCAUUUCUUAUAAAGCAACGUUGAUUGCUUUGUAAAAAAAAAUAAUUAAAAAAAAGGCAAAAAAAAAAAUCCACAAAAAACCUGCUUUAAAAUGAUAUCAGACAGGCACAGAGGAGACUGCUGUAACGGACUGGGAGAAAUUUAAAAGAUUGAGAAGAAUGUAAACACUCACGAUGCUUUCCAAGUAUAGAAUCCUCACUUUGAACAAAGCAUGCGGAGAUGGUUUGUGUCAGAAAAGCUACACAAAAAUGCAUUUGGUAGAUUCAUACUCAAGAAGAAGGCUGCAGUUUUAUAUAAAAUUAUACAUU